GAUUAAUUUAAACCUGUCCCUUCCCAGGGCAGUGGUCCGAAAGAGGGCAAACAUGUUAGUAAUGUAGACACCAGCACCUAGGCAGGCCCAACCCUGGGGUGGGCUGGCCUGAUGUAAUUAGCCAAUCUGAUGCUCAUCAAAGCUUGUGGUUCACUCCACUGAGGCCAAUCAGAUCCACCCCUGCAACCUAGGAAGGAACUCCCAGGGGACAGGGAGGGAGGAGAGAUAAAAUUCUGAACAAAAGUUCUUCUGUCAGGGGCUCCAGGUGGUCCCUGGUUAGCACUGGGGCAGAUUCUCACAUCUUCUCCUGUCUUCUAAAUGUCGAGAGGAGAAAAAAGAGCCAUGGGAGACCAAAUGGAGGCUGUGCCAACGGGCAAAGUCCUCUCCAGCCUCUGAGUGCCAGGACUCAGAGAUGCCCGGGAAAGUGCUGAUUCCACGCAGUGCCCAGUAGCUGUGUUGAAACACGACAUAUCUCCGAGGAGAGAGUACUGGCCAGGCUGUGAUCCCAGGGCGUCCAACCUCCUGAAUGUGCCCGUGGACACCUUAGGCCGGGUUCCCAGCAGAGAGAAGCCUUCUCCUUCACCCUCACAGCAGCUGUGAGGUGGUUGCUGUGGGUGCCCAGUGAGGAGCCAGGAUGGGAAGUGAGUGUCUCAGCCACACACGCACUGGGGCUUCCCACAAAGCGUGGCGAAGAACAUCUUGCUGGUUCCUGUACCAUCCUUUCUUCCGCAGACUUCUCCACUCAGUCCCACGUGCCCCCUCUCAGCGCCUCUCACUUCUGCUCUGCCAGGGCCUCCUCUCUCUCCCUUCAGUUCACAAGCCUCUUCCUCCCUCUCCCCUGUGGCUUUGCCUGGGGGCCUCCUUUCCUGGUCCUGCCUGGAGUCCUGGAGACAUUCCUGGUGGCUCAUCUGCCAUGGCAUGCCCAGAGUCCGAAGGUGUGUUUUCACCCUGUCCUCCCUCAAGGUUGAUCGAUCGGCCUGAGACCUGUUCUCUGGUGUGGCCCAGGGCCCACGGGACUGAACAGCUAGCAGUUCACCAGCGUGGACAGAGGGUGCUGAUCUCAGCCAGCGCGCCUAGCCACGUGACCCGGGCAGCCUUGCCAUCUACCCACAUCUCAAUUCUCUUGUGGUUUUGUGGUCAGCCUCAGAUUAAAUCACGACUGCCUGGCAGCUGAGACUUGUAAGAGAGUUGCAUUCUCCCACGAUCACCUGAGGCGGCACGGUCCCAGGCUGAUGUAGACCAAGGAGCCUGAGAAGGCUCUGGACCCCGAGAGCAUGUGGAGAGCAGGGGGCUUGACCCACUUGGUGGAGAUAGGAGACGGGGGGG